rnacentral:rRNA from 1 species
UGGCGCCAGCCGCACCGCAGGGUAGCUAUGUUCGGAUGAGAUAAGCGCUGAAAGCAUCUAAGCGCGAAACUCACCUCAAGAUGAGAUUUCUUUUAAGGGCCGUCAAAGACUAUGACGUUGAUAGGCUGCAGGUGUAAAGGCAGAAAUGUCAAAGCCGAGCAGUACUAAUUACCCGUAGAUUUUCUUAUUU